GGGGAGUACGAUUGCAGGGUGAAACUCAAAGGAAUUGACGGGGGCCCGCACAAGCGGUGGAGUAUGUGGUUUAAUUAGAAGCAACGCGAAGAACCUUACCAGGGCUUGACAUCCCACGGACAGAUGUAGAGAUACAUCCUUCCCUUCGGGGACUGUGGUGACAGGUGGUGCAUGGUUGUCGUCAGCUCGUGUCGUGAGAUGUUGGGUUAAGUCCCGCAACGAGCGCAACCCUUAUUGUUAGUUGCUACGCAAGAGCACUCUAGCGAGACUGCCGUUGACAAAACGGAGGAAGGUGGGGACGACGUCAAAUCAUCAUGCCCCUUAUGUCCUGGGCCACACACGUACUACAAUGGUGGUCAACAGAGGGAAGCAAUGCCGCGAGGCGGAGCAAAUCCCUAAAAGCCAUCCCAGUUCGGAUCGCAGGCUGCAACCCGCCUGCGUGAAGUUGGAAUCGCUAGUAAUCGCGGAUCAGCAUGCCGCGGUGAAUACGUUCCCGGGCCUUGUACACACCGCCCGUCACACCAUGAGAGUCGGGAACACCCGAAGUCCGUAGCCUAACCGCAAGGGGGGCGCGGCCGAAGGUGGGUUCGAUAAUUGGGGUGAAGUCGUAACAAGGUAACCGU
rnacentral:rRNA from 1 species